GGUGCCUAAGAAUAACUCCGCUUACCUUCAGACGCAACUUACGGUAAAGCGUGAAUUCACUGCCCCCUUUCCCGGCCUGUUGAGGGCUUCUGUUAAAUCCCCGGCCCCCCGGUGGAUUAUAGGUGUUAAACAUGUGUUAAAGCCCCUGCAUGACUGCGUUACUUCCCCGGUAUGCCCCGGGGGUCGGGGGGCCGGGCUGUCAAUUGACUGGUGCAUUAGGUUUAUGAUGAGGUUCAAAAUCUUGUGACAGAGUUGACAGCUCUGGUAACUUAUAUUUAAUUCAUUCAUGAAUAGUAGUUAUAAUUUUCCUAUGAUAGAUGGUGAAUGGCAGAUUUAGAGAUCGAACUUGAUAAAUACAGCCUAGAAUAUUUAUUUCCUGAGGUAAGUACUUAAAGUAAAUUAAAUUCAACAAAGAAAAAGGUGUUCAAAGUUUGAAAACAAAACAACCCCGAAAGAUACUUUCGUUCCGCUAAGUACUUUAAUGCAAUUCGCUAACUUACCUACGUCUGCCAGUGCAAGAACAAAUACAUAUGAGCACUUGUCGGAGAAGGUGUCUAUAAAAUUACCUUGUUUUUUCUUUCUUUAUCUUGUGGCUUACUCUGACAUUUCAGCUGACCUUGACUCGAGCACAAGACUUGACUUUUCAAAACUUUCAACCAUGCUUUUACACAGUCUUUUGCACAUAAUUAGACAAGUUUAUAUCCGUGGUUAGCAUUCCCACGAAUGAUUUUUUCCAAGCACUUAUUUUUCGACAAUUCUUGGCUUUCUGCAGUCAGUUUUCGUGUGUUUUUGCGAGGGGCAGAAAUACUCAUCCGCCAUAUUGUUUUGCGCGCUCUGGAGGCCUGUGCCGAGGCAGAUCGCGGCUGGCUAGCAGCUUCACGUAUGCAAAACGACUGCGCAUGCGCUAGGUUGGAAUUUUAGAUUCAACAAAGAUGGCGGCGGACGCCUGGUGGAUAAUCCAGCCAAAUACUGCCAGGUUUCUACUCAGAACUCAAUAAUUACUUCGGAAUAAGACGACUUUAUUGACUUAGAGUAUCAAUGUGACUCAAAGGGUGGAUAAUUGUGCUCGGAUUUGUUUUAUUAUGUACGAAUUUUCGUAAACUCGUAAUGCCGUUCGCCUCGAAGAACGAGAAAUCCUGACUCGUGCGAGUUGUGGUAUCAAUAUCUAACAAAUGUGAGGGAGUGAUGUGACAUUUGCUGCUUGAUCUGAGAAAGAAAUUCUUCACGACUCUCUAUUGGAGCCAUGCCGAUCAUGGCUCCGAAUUGUGAGUGGGUCCAUCAUGUAUAGCUUUCCAGGAUGUUUUACAAAACAGACAGUCAUCCAUUACAAAUCACCAACGCUGCCAAGUUAGACUCUCAAUCUAGUCCUGGAGGUAAAACGCUAGCGAACUCUGUGGUACUUGAGGGUCAGUGCAUUAUAGUGAAAUGUCAAAUCUAUCCUCUAGUAUAGCUGAUCCACUCGGGGAACCAAGUAGUGGAGCUAAAUCGCUUUUGGCAGAUUCUACACUGAGGCAGCUUCUAUAUUUCCUUGUGUCGUGGUAUUGUACGUUUGGUUCCCCCUUGCAAUAGCUGUGACAAGUAAAGAGAUCCAUGGAGUACUUAGGGGGGAAUUGCUGUCCAAUCGAUAACUGUCACGAUUGUUUCCUCAAUGGACUCAAAAAGGAGAAAUGACAGAUCAAUGCAAAGGGGAGGGGGUGUGGCAUCAUUUGCUUUUUGUGCCCUCCUGCCAAUCCCCACCCUCAUCCCCCCACUCUACCCUUGGGUGAUUGAAGAAUCUUAAUAAUUAUCUUUAUUUUGAUAUAAGCUAGUCAUUAUUUACUCCCAUUGUUCGGUAUUUAAAACUACAUCUCCUCUGUCAUUUUUUCUGGCUUCACCAACGGGGGUCAUCAGGGCAGGAGAGGGGGUCUAGGGGGUUUCUCAUCAAUAUUCCGUAGUUUGUCAGGCACUCUAGUCGGAACAGUAAAGUUUUGAUAUGCUUUCGCAUAUUAUUUAAUGAGGUUAGGGGAUCUUGGGAGGGAUUUUGCAAUGAGUCGCACAAGCGAAUCACAGGUGAACGGGUAGUCUCCAAUAUCUGUAAACAACAAAAUACAUAUUAUAAUAACAUAUUUUUUUUGUUAUGUCACAAUUGAAAACAAUUUACACAACCAUGUAUAAUAUACUUGCA